GCGCGGGUGCGGCAGCGGGGGCGGCCGGGGCGUUGCUGCCGCCCAGGGUGGCGAUCACGCCGCCGACCUUCACG
rnacentral:tRNA from 1 species